rnacentral:piRNA from 1 species
UCUGAUCGGUUUGUUCUUUUU